UACGUAGGGCGCAAGCGUUAUCCGGAAUUAUUGGGCGUAAAGAGCUCGUAGGCGGUUUGUCGCGUCUGCCGUGAAAGUCCGGGGCUCAACUCCGGAUCUGCGGUGGGUACGGGCAGACUAGAGUGAUGUAGGGGAGACUGGAAUUCCUGGUGUAGCGGUGAAAUGCGCAGAUAAUCAGGAGGAACACCGAUGGCGAAGGCAGGUCUCUGGGCAUUAACUGACGCUGAGGAGCGAAAGCAUGGGGAGCGAACAGG
rnacentral:rRNA from 1 species